rnacentral:misc_RNA from 1 species
UUCCUCCUUUUUCUUUUUUCCUUUUUUCCCUUUUGUUCAUGAUUUGGUUAACUUCUAAUACUCUUUCAACUUUUUAUUUUUUGAAUUCUCUCAAGCACUUGCAUGCAACAGAAAAUUUGAUUUCAAAAGUUAGAUGCACAAGACUUGUUUUAACAUUUACUUGUUUACCUCCCACUUGAUAUUAAAAUUUUUAAUGUUCCAUGAAAAUUGAUACUUUCCAUUGAAAAUUUACCUUUAUUGCAGCAUCAACAGACG